rnacentral:misc_RNA from 1 species
UAACUGCGAUAAGCAAUGCGAAUUGCAGAAUCCGACGGCAUCGAUGAAGAACGCAGCCGGCGCUAUUAGUCAAACACUUUUAGCAAGUUUGCUUCAGUCUUAUUGAUUAUUACAAAUCAAAAUGUGAUUGAACCUUCGGGUUCUUUCAUUGAAUUUGAAUACGACAUAUUUCAACCCACCGAAGCAGUCACAGUCUCUGACAGUGAUUUCGAUGGCUCUUGAGCUAUGGCCAGUAUAGAGACCACAGUCUUUAACAAUAAUCUUAAGCUGAUGUCAAGCUAGACUACCCGCUGAACUUAA